rnacentral:rRNA from 1 species
ACUACGGGGGGCAGCAGUGAGGAAUAUUGGUCAAUGGGCGGAAGCCUGAACCAGCCAAGUAGCGUGCAGGAUGACGGCCCUACGGGUUGUAAACUGCUUUUAUACGGGAAUAACGCGCCUUACGUGUAGGGCUUUGCAUGUACCGUAUGAAUAAGGACCGGCUAAUUCCGUGCCAGCAGCCGCGGUAAUACGGAAGGUCCGGGCGUUAGCCGGAUUUAUUGGGUUUAAAGGGAGCGUAGGCCGCAUGUCAAGCGUGCGGUGAAAUGUCCGGGCUCAACCCGGGCCUUGCAGCGCGAACCGGCGUGCUUGAGUCCGCGGAAAGCAGGCGGAAUUCGUCGUGUAGCGGUGACAUGCUUAGAUAUGACGAAGAACCCCGAUUGCGAAGGCAGCUUGCUGCAGCGGAACUGACGCUGAUGCUCGAAAGCGCGGGUAUCGAACAGGAUUAGAUACCCCGGUAGUC